rnacentral:rRNA from 1 species
GAUGAACGCUGGCGGCGUGCCUAAUACAUGCAAGUCGAGCGAACAGACGAGGAGCUUGCUCCUCUGACGUUAGCGGGGGACGGGUGAGUAACACGUGGAUAACCUACCUAUAAGACUGGGAUAACUUCGGGAAACCGGAGCUAAUACCGGAUAAUAUAUUGAACCGCAUGGUUCAAUAGUGAAAGACGGUUUUGCUGUCACUUAUAGAUGGAUUCGCGCCGCAUUAGCUAGUUGGUAAGGUAACGGCUUACCAAGGCAACGAUGCGUAGCCGACCUGAGAGGGUGAUCGGCCACACUGGAACUGAGACACGGUCCAGACUCCUACGGGAGGCAGCAGUAGGGAAUCUUCCGCAAUGGGCGAAAGCUUGACGGAGCAACGCCGCGUGAGUGAUGAAGGUCUUCGGAUCGUAAAACUCUGUUAUUAGGGAAGAACAAAUGUGUAAGUAACUAUGCACGUCUUGACGGUACCUAAUCAGAAAGCCACGGCUAACUACGUG